GUAGGUGGCAAGUGUUGUCCGGAAUUACUGGGCGUAAAGCGCGCGCAGGUGGUUCUUUAAGUCUGAUGUGAAAGCCCCCGGCUCAACCGGGGAGGGUCAUUGGAAACUGGGGAACUUGAGUGCAGGAGAGGAAAGUGGAAUUCCACGUGUAGCGGUGAAAUGCGUAGACAUGUGGAGGAACACCAGUGGCGAAGGCGACUUUCUGGCCUGUAACUGACACUGAGGCGCGAAAGCGUGGGGAGCAAACAGGGAUUAGAUACCCUGGUAGUCCACGCCGUAAACGAUGAGUGCUAAGUGUUGGGGGGGUUUCCCGCCCCUCAGUGCUGCAGCUAACGCAUUAAGCACUCCGCCUGGGGAUACGGUCGCAAGACUG
rnacentral:rRNA from 1 species